rnacentral:sRNA from 1 species
UUGCCAACCCCCUAGACUGAAGCCGUCGCUCUAUCUAGCACAAGCAUCAACAGUGCAGGUUUCUCCCCCACUGUCCUGUGAAUGUGUCGCAAACCUGACCUGGAGAUACUAUUGCUAGUCCUGAGAAAGGAAUUCAGUCUCUAAGAUCCAUUCAAUACUUAGUAUCG